AACCGUUCGGGGGGAAACGGACAGAGCUCGUGAAUCCGGGUGGUGGAAUUCAGAAUUUGCAACGUUUACGCGUUGCAGGCUCGAUAUUUCCAUCACCAUAUUUCGGACGUCGCGACCCGUUUGGUGUUGGUUUGAGGAGACGUGUAAAAGUUCGCUGRUGUAUUGGACUUGUCCAGUAUGUUGACGAGUGCGCGUUUUAUUCUGACUAACUUGCCAGACGGUAUGUAAUGGUGGUCGCAAUAGUCUUAGCAUURUUGUCGAUACCUGUCUGCGACGAAUCUUCGAGUCUCUUUCCGACCCGUCUUGAAACACGGACCAAGGAGUCUAACAUGCGCGCGAGUCGCGGGGUAUCAAGCAAUUGGUGUUCGCAUUGGUUGCUUGUUAUAAUACGAAACCCGUCUCGUUUUACGAAAGGCGCAAUGAAAGUGAAUUUUGGGGAAGAUGACGUUACCGAGUUCACGUUUCAUAUUCUUGUAAUAUGACCGGUCGUCCGCAUUCCCAGGGUGUCUCAAAGUGCGAUUUUAUUGCGGAUUGCUGCUCCCUCGGGGGUAGUGGUCGGGUUUAAUCGAGCUGAGGCGCACCUAUAGCGUGCAUGUUGGUACCCGAAAGAUGGUGAACUAUGCCCGGCCAGGAUGAAGUCAGGGGAAACCCUGAUGGAGGUCCGAAGUGGUUCUGACGUGCAAAUCGAUCGUAUGAGCUGGGUAU
rnacentral:rRNA from 1 species